rnacentral:rRNA from 1 species
AUUGAACGCUGGCGGCAUGCCUUACACAUGCAAGUCGAACGGUAACAGGUCUUCGGAUGCUGACGAGUGGCGAACGGGUGAGUAAUACAUCGGAACGUGCCCGAUCGUGGGGGGAUAACGAAGCGAAAGCUUUGCUAAUACCGCAUACGAUCUACGGAUGAAAGCGGGGGGAUCUUCGGACCUCGCGCGGACGGAGCGGCCGAUGGCAGAUUAGGUAGUUGGUGGGAUAAAAGCUUACCAAGCCGACGAUCUGUAGCUGGUCUGAGAGGAUGAUCAGCCACACUGGGACUGAGACACGGCCCAGACUCCUACGGGAGGCAGCAGUGGGGAAUUUUGGACAAUGGGCGCAAGCCUGAUCCAGCCAUGCCGCGUGCAGGAUGAA